GGAAAGGCGCGCGAUACAGGGUGACAGCCCCGUACACAAAAAUGCACAUGCUGUGAGCUCGAUGAGUAGGGCGGGACACGUGGUAUCCUGUCUGAAUAUGGGGGGACCAUCCUCCAAGGCUAAAUACUCCUGACUGACCGAUAGUGAACCAGUACCGUGAGGGAAAGGCGAAAAGAACCCCGGCGAGGGGAGUGAAAAAGAACCUGAAACCGUGUACGUACAAGCAGUGGGAGCACGCUUAGGCGUGUGACUGCGUACCUUUUGUAUAAUGGGUCAGCGACUUAUAUUCUGUAGCAAGGUUAACCGAAUAGGGGAGCCGAAGGGAAACCGAGUCUUAACUGGGCGUUAAGUUGCAGGGUAUAGACCCGAAACCCGGUGAUCUAGCCAUGGGCAGGUUGAAGGUUGGGUAACACUAACUGGAGGACCGAACCGACUAAUGUUGAAAAAUUAGCGGAUGACUUGUGGCUGGGGGUGAAAGGCCAAUCAAACCGGGAGAUAGCUGGUUCUCCCCGAAAGCUAUUUAGGUAGCGCCUCGUGAAUUCAUCUCCGGGGGUAGAGCACUGUUUCGGCAAGGGGGUCAUCCCGACUUACCAACCCGAUGCAAACUGCGAAUACCGGAGAAUGUUAUCACGGGAGACACACGGCGGGUGCUAACGUCCGUCGUGAAGAGGGAAACAACCCAGACCGCCAGCUAAGGUCCCAAAGUCAUGGUUAAGUGGGAAACGAUGUGGGAAGGCCCAGACAGCCAGGAUGUUGGCUUAGAAGCAGCCAUCAUUUAAAGAAAGCGUAAUAGCUCACUGGUCGAGUCGGCCUGCGCGGAAGAUGUAACGGGGCUAAACCAUGCACCGAAGCUGCGGCAGCGACGCUGAUGCGUUGUUGGGUAGGGGAGCGUUCUGUAAGCCUGUGAAGGUGUGCUGUGAGG
rnacentral:rRNA from 1 species